rnacentral:rRNA from 1 species
UUGACCUACGGGGGGCAGCAGUGGGGGAUAUUGCACAAUGGGGGGAACCCUGAUGCAGCGACGCCGCGUGGGUGAAGGAGCGUUUCGGCGCGUAAAGCCCUAUCGGCAGGGAAGAAGAUGACGGUACCUGACCAAGAAGCCCCGGCUAACUACGUGCCAGCAGCCGCGGUAAUACGUAGGGGGCGAGCGUUAUCCGGAUUCACUGGGUGUAAAGGGAGCGUAGACGGCCAAGCAAGCCAGGGGUGAAAGCCCGGGGCCCAACCCCGGGACUGCCCUUGGAACUGCAUGGCUGGAGUGCGGGGGGG